rnacentral:rRNA from 1 species
UACGUAGGGGGCAAGCGUUGUCCGGAUUUAUUGGGCGUAAAGAGCGUGUAGGCGGCUAGGUAGGUCCGUUGUGAAAACUCGAGGCUCAACCUCGAGACGCCGAUGGAAACCAUCUGGCUAGAGUCCGGAAGAGGAGAGUGGAAUUCCUGGUGUAGCGGUGAAAUGCGCAGAUAUCAGGAAGAACACCUAUGGCGAAGGCAGCUCUCUGGGACGGUACUGACGCUGAGACGCGAAAGCAUGGGGAGCGAACAGG